GUUUUCCUUUAAAAUACUUUGUUUGUCAAGGUCACUGACUCCAGAAAUCACAAACCGUGAGGCUUUAACUAUAUUGCAGUGUUUGCUUAUAUUUCUGUUUGGGCCCUAUUAAUUUUUUCAUUUUGACUUCCAAGCUGCUAUCUGCUUACUAGGGCUAUUAAGCUCUGGCAACCAGGUACCAGUCUAAAUUGCCAGUCGUGAGCCACCGAAAAAAGUCAAAAUCAAAACACCCCAAAUAUAAAAGACAAAGUGCAUUUUUUCUAGACAACUACUGCCUACACAAUACUAUAAUUUCAUUCUAAGGCUUGCAUGUGAUGCUUGGAAAGACUGUAAAGUUCAAGAAUUCCAGUUUUUAAGCAUAUGAUAAAAUGGACUCAGACCGAUCAAUCAGUGCUAGAGAAAUGUUAAACCAGUUGUACUAAAUUGGGGGAUUAUAUUAAACCAAGUGUUGGGGAGUUUUGAAAUUUGAGUUUAGAGAACAUUUGAUCCAAGUAGAGAGUGCCAAGAUUCUAAAUCUGCUCCAUGCAUAAUAAUGUAAUUAUAUUUUGCAGCUUAAGGUAACAGGCAGCAUUAUAUCCCCAUCCUCUCUAAACAAACAGCCUUCCUUGUACACACAAUCUGCAGUUAAACCAGUAAAACAGAUGCAGAAUACAUUGGAGGAAAAUGUAGAGACCCUUCUUUCUCAUGCCAGAUACAAUAGCCAAUUUAAAUAUAAGAACAGAUCUAUCGUUCAACAAUGGUGCUCAUCAACAUCUGGAGAACGCAGUUAUAGCAGAUCAUUUCCUGUAAUUACCGUAACAGUAUCGAAAUCUGAUUGUGCACCCAGCAGAAACUGUUCUGGAAGUCCAGCCAGUUGUGUGGUUUUUCCAUGUUACUAACCAUGUAAGCAUCACAUGUCUGUGCCCCUAUUCAUUCUAGUGGCAGCGCAGACGACAGAAGAGAGGCCACCUGUGUUGAAUGAUGAUGCAGAAUUCUCCCACUUAAGCCAAGCUGAUAUUUUAUCCUUCCUCUGGUGAUUCAAAAACUAGUAAAAAAAAAAAAAAAUAGUCCAUGGAAUGGGAAUUUUUAAUUUAUUUUGUGGAGUUGAAGAAGCAGUAAAACAUUCUUUUGGAAAGCCACAAAAUAUGUACAAGGGAGAUUACAGCAGAUGGAACAAACAGUUUUGCUUUUCUUUCAUCCCCUGUGUAUCCUUAAAAUACACAUUUAAUGAA